CCCCUGCCUGCUGCAUGCUAGGUCAAGAAGGUCGACCAUCCCCAAACAGAGAAGACCGGUUCUUUGGUCAAGGGUAUACAAGUAGCUGCGCUCCCCUGCUAGGAUCUCCACACAAGCUCUCAACAACACAUCACCCAGUGACACCACAGCCAUCUUGGUUUGUGAAACUAAAAC
rnacentral:sRNA from 1 species